GCACUUGGUUGUUUCUCGGCUAGCCUAACCUAACCAGACUUUACAUUUUGGUGCCCUUCUUCUUCCUCUGGGAUUUUACGAUUACAUCGAAUGUGAUUCAG